UACAGAGGUGCCAAGCGUUGUUCGGAUUUACUGGGCGUAAAGGGCGCGUAGGCGGCCACCGCAAGUCGACUGUGAAAUCUCCGGGCUUAACCCGGAAAGGUCAGCCGAUACUGCGGGGCUAGAGUGCAGAAGGGGCAACUGGAAUUCUCGGUGUAGCGGUGAAAUGCGUAGAUAUCGAGAGGAACACCUGCGGCGAAGGCGGGUUGCUGGGCUGACACUGACGCUGAAGCGCGAAAGCUAGGGGAGCGAACGGG
rnacentral:rRNA from 1 species